rnacentral:lncRNA from 1 species
ACUUGCUACUUGCACAGACUUGUCUCUGGUCCUCAAGUUUGGCCAACAGUGGAGCACUCUGUGGGAGAGGAAGUCAGAGAGUUGGAGGCAGGUCCAGGAACAUAAUUUGCAGGGCACAAGUGCAAGAUGAAAAUUCAUGCUCCUUGUUCACAAAUGAUGAAGAAAUUCAAGACAGCGACAGCAGAGCAUCAGCUAAAUGCAUGGUCCUUUUGAGCUUCGUGGGGCACUGUGACCCCAUGGGCCAUCCGUCUUUGAGGCUGGACCAUGUUGGAAACCACUGGAGAAGGCAGGGGGUUGGGGGUUGAGCCUGGGGCUCAGAGGUUCUGUGUUAACCAAAUGCCACUCAGCUGGAAGAUCAGCGAUGGAAAUCAGUUAACAUUUAAGAAAUCACCUGGAGGCCCAGGCUCUGUUCCAAGCCAUUAGGGAUUCGGCAGUGAGCAAGCAAGGGCUGCUGUGAGUAGGGAAGGAGACUUGGUCUGAAAGAUGCCACAUUCCUGCAGCCUCUCUUGGUGCAGUGGAAUACAGUCUUGGGCGAGGUGGCGUGGAUGAGCUGGUGAAAGAGGAUGCUGCCC